rnacentral:rRNA from 1 species
CCUACGGGGUGCACCAGUGGGGAAUAUUGCACAAUGGGCGCAAGCCUGAUGCAGCCAUGCCGCGUGUGUGAAGAAGGCCUUCGGGUUGUAAAGCACUUUCAGCGGGGAGGAAGGCGGUGAGGUUAAUAACCUCAUCGAUUGACGUUACCCGCAGAAGAAGCACCGGCUAACUCCGUGCCAGCAGCCGCGGUAAUACGGAGGGUGCAAGCGUUAAUCGGAAUUACUGGGCGUAAAGCGCACGCAGGCGGUCUGUCAAGUCGGAUGUGAAAUCCCCGGGCUUAACCUGGGAAUGGCAUCUAAGACUGGUCAGCUAGAGUCUUGUAGAGGGGGGUAGAAUUCCAUGUGUAGCGGUGAAAUGCGUAGAGAUGUGGAGGAAUACCGGUGGCGAAGGCGGCCCCCUGGACAAAGACUGACGCUCAGGUGCGAGAGCGUGGGGAGCAAACAGGAUUAGAUACCCGCGUAGUC